UGUGUGUGUGAGUGUUGUGCGGCUGAGGGAGAUAAGAGGGUGGAGUCAGUGGGCUAGGGUGAGGGUUGGGCUUUGGGGUAGGGCUUUGUUAGAGAGUGGGCCGAUUUUAAUUAGUAGUGGGCUCGAGUCAUGGGCCGAGAUUUUAUUUAUUUUUGUUUCAGCUGGGCUUUUAAUUUUUAAAUCUGUUGGGCCUUUAUUAAUUUAUUUAAUUGGAUUUAUGCAGAUUUUUAUUUAAAGGAGAUACACUAUUUUAAUUAAUUAGACUUAUUAAGUUUGAUUAAUUAUUUUUAAUUUGCAUAAUAAUAUUAUAUUAUUAUUAUGUGCAUAUUUUAAGUAAAUUACUUAUUAUAUGCUAAGCAUGACAUGAAAUUGCAUUAUAUUUUGCAAUAAAAGUAUUUAUGAUUUAAUUGGUUUUAUUUAUAAUUCCAAUUAUUAAAGGAAGAUGAGUAAGAAUAUUGUUGGUGUUCUUAACUCAAGAGAAAUGUUUUCAAUUAUUUAUUUAUUAAAUUUUGAAAACCCGGCUAAGUGAAUCAUAGAAUGUUAAGCACUACACCAUGACUUAAGAUUAGAUUUAAGGAGACCUAUUGAGAAUAGAAUUUCUUGUAGGCUUUGUGACCAGGGGGAUUAGCGCUGCUUUCCCAAGACAGGUUUAUAUGUGAUUAUGAUCUUCAGGCUUUGCCUAACCAGGUUGGCUGGCCGGUGCUGACGGGACGGAGCUGAGGCUAGAGAUAAAUUCCUAUGUUAGACUUCCGCUGUAGCAAUUACUCAUAUCAGUCUUUUGUUUUCCCAACUUAAGAUCUUCAUGUUAAAUUUCAAAUGAUAUACCUGACCGAGCUUAGACUCUUCACUACUUAAUUUAUGCCAAUGAAUGUCAGUUGUCAGAAGCAUGAAACAAAACUUGUGAUCCAAAGGGGCAUAGCCCGACUUUCUAUCCUAUUUCGGAUUUUUACAAG